UACAGAGACUGCAAGCGUUAUUCGGAUUCACUGGGCGUAAAGGGUGCGCAGGCGGCCGAGUGUGUGAGGCGUGAAAGCCCGGGGCUUAACCCCGGAAUUGCACCUCAAACUACACGGCUAGAGCAUUGGAGAGGGUAGCAGAAUUCAUGGUGUAGCAGUGAAAUGCGUAGAUAUCAUGAGGAAUACCAGAGGCGAAGGCGGCUACCUGGACAAUUGCUGACGCUCAGGCACGAAAGCUAGGGGAGCAAACAGG
rnacentral:rRNA from 1 species